rnacentral:rRNA from 1 species
UACGAGAGGCCCAAACGUUAUUCGGAAUUACUGGGCUUAAAGAGUUCGUAGGCGGCAUGAAAAGUAGGGUGUGAAAGCCCUCGGCUCAACCGAGGAAUUGCGCCCUAAACUGUCGUGCUUGAGGAAGCUAGAGGUGAGCAGAACUGAUGGUGGAGCGGUGAAAUGCGUUGAUAUCGGGAGGAACACCGGUGGCGAAGGCGGCGACCUGGGUGGAUACUGACGCUGAGGCGCGAAAGCGUGGGGAGCAAACAGG